rnacentral:lncRNA from 1 species
GAAUUGGACCUGCAGCUGAGGCUGACACCACAGCCACAGCAACAAUGGAUCUGAGCCUCAUCUGCAACCUAUGCCACAGCUGUCAGCAAUGCCAGAUCCUUAACCCACUGCACAGUCCAGGGAUUGAACCCGCAUCCUCACAGUCAGGGUCUUAACCCACUGAGCCACACGGGAACUCCUUGCCUUUCUAUUUAGUGGAAACUGAAAAUUCCAUUUCAAACUUACCGUGACCCACAAAGCCCUGUAUCAUUUGGCCUUUGGCUUCUCCUCCUCCAUUGGCUCACUCUGAACCAGCCACAUCGUCCUCCUGGCUGAUGUUCAUACAAGUCCUGUCUUAAAGCUCUUAUAUUUGUGACUUUUGUACUUGCCUGGAGCCCACCACAAAGUUUGUAUCUUUCAAACCAUGACAGUACUUUUUUAUGCAAACAACUUGGUCCUCUGAUUAUCAAAGACUGACAUUUACCUACACUCCUUCAGGCUCAUCACUUUUUAUGUUGUAUUUCAAAAUUUCCUAUCUCCCCUUGGAAGAUAUAUGCUUUCUCUUUACUGCCUCCUUCUUGGUAUCGAAGAGAUCGUCCCUAAGUAUUUGCUUCAUGCCUUUUUUUUAUUUUUAUUUUUUUGUCUUUUGUCUAUGGGCCAGGCCACACCUGCAGCAUAUGGAGGUUCCCAGGCUAGGGGUUGAAUCAGACCUGCAGCUGCCAGCCUACACCACAACCACAGCAACGCAAUCUGAGCAGCGUCUGCCACCUACACCACAGCUCAUGGCAAUGCUGUAUCCUUAACCCACUGAGCAAGGCCAGGGAUUGAACCUGCGUCUUAAUGGAUACUAUCAGGUUUGUAAACCACUGAGCCAUGAGAGGAACGUCUUCAUGCCCCUAGAGGUAUUUAGUUUAAAACAAUUGUAGCCUUAAUUUGUGAAUAUAUACAAGACAUGCAAUUUACCUCAGAGAUAAGCAAUAAGGCAAGGAUAUGAGAAACUUUUUUUUUUAAGAAAAGAAAGUAAAACCAAUUAAGAAUGGCUAAUGAUUCACAUAAAAGUAAUUUUUUAAAACUCUCUGGAACAGGAAGGAUAGGGUGUUCUGCUAUGACAUUUCACUCAGAUGGUGGUUUGGUUUGGAUGUAUGUUUCAAAAUUGCUAGUACCUGAGUAGUUUUCUUUGAAAAAACCAGGAUAAAAAUACAAUCAAGUUAACUCAACUAACAUUUUUAAAAUUUUUAUGUAUUUUUUAGGGCUGUACCUGUGGUGAAUGGAAAUUCCCAGGCCAGCAGUCAAAUCCCAGCUGCUGGUCUACGUCACAGCUCUAGCAAAGCAGGAUCCGAGCUAUUAUCUGUGACCUACACCACAGCUCAGGGCAAGGCCAGAUUCUUAACCCACUGAGCGAGGCCAGGGAUAAAACCCAUGUCCUCAUGGAUCCUCUUCAGGUUCGUUACCGCUGACCCACAAUGGGAACCCCUAAUUCAACUAGCAUUUAUUAAAAGCUUAUGUGAUAGUUACUGUGUGUCAUGUGCUGGGUACACAAACACAACUGAGACACUGUCCCAAUGUUAAAGAUUUCAGGAUAGAAGACUGGUAGGGGGUAACAAGGGAAGGACAAAGAUAAUCACCUUAUAAUUACACUUAAACUGGAUCUUUCAGGUAGAAAAGCAGAUAAUGAACAUUCUAGGAAUAGGGAAGAACACUAGCAAACUACAGGUAGUCUUGUUUUGCUGUGACAUAUGGAACAUGUGUAGAGGCUGAAGAGCAGUCUGCAAACAUCAGGACCAGGCGGUUAAGUCACAAUGGCAAAGGGACUGGAAAGGGGAGAAAUUUCAGAGACGUUUUUAAGAUGAGCUCAACAGGACUUAAUGAUGAAAAAUGUCAGAGAGGACUAGUAAAUAGUGUUAAGAUUCUUCAUCUGGAUAACUAGGUUGAAUAGGAAUGCCAUUAACUGCACAGAAAAGAGUAUUAGGCUUUUUUGGGAGGUGAGAGUGGACAUUAAAAAAAAAAAAAAAA